GAUGAACGCUGGCGGCGUGCCUAAUACAUGCAAGUCGAGCGAACAGAUGAGGAGCUUGCUCCCCUGACGUUAGCGGCGGACGGGUGAGUAACACGUGGAUAACCUACUUAUAAGACUGGGAUAAUUUCGGGAAACCGGAGCCAAUACCGGAUAAUAUAUUGAACCGCAUGGUUCAAUAGUGAAAGACGGUUUUGCUGUCACUUAUAGAUGGAUCCGCGUCGCAUUAGCUAGUUGGUAAGGUAACGGCUUACCAAGGCAACGAUGCGUAGCCGACCUGAGAGGGUGAUCAGCCACACUGGAACUGAGACACGGUCCAGACUCCUACGGGAGGCAGCAGUAGGGAAUCUUCCGCAAUGGGCGAAAGCCUGACGGAGCAACGCCGCGUGAGUGAUGAAGGUCUUCGGAUCGUAAAACUCUGUUAUUAGGGAAGAACAAAUGUGUAAGUAACUAUGCACGUCUUGACGGUACCUAAUCAGAAAGCCACGGCUAACUACGUG
rnacentral:rRNA from 1 species